UGACGUCAUCACAGGUCCUUUGCUUCUCCAGCAGCUAGCAGCUCCGUCAGAUCCCAUAGAAUAUUGUGCUUGCCUGGUGCCUUCGUGGAUGCUAACCUUUUUAGAUAGCUUUCCUGAACUCUGGAUCCAGAACUCGGACAACCAACUGUUUUGAAUUGGAGCUCUACUCUCAUGGAACUUAUGGAGUGUAUAUUAUAUACAACUUAAUGACUGCAUCUAUGGCACGAUACAUAGAGAAUUAUAAAAAAAAAAAGUAUGAAGAGAGAAUAUGCUAUGCGAAUGCAAUGUUAAAUGUUUCCGCAGAUCACUCUACUGGUAGAUGUGUCAACCGUUAUGACAUAUCAAUCUGUAACUAAUGGAACUGCAAUAUAUGAGACCGUAUUGUUGAUGUAUACACUAACCUUUGUCACUAAUUGUACACCAUUUUCUGUUUGCGCUUUAGUUUGAAAAAGGCUGUGAAAAGCUGAAACGUCACACUCUAGCCGCAUAUUGAAUAAAAAGCACCAAGCAAGAACCUCUUUUGAUGUACUGGAGUUUAUUUUGCAUCCCAUACAGCACUGUCAUAUCAGCUGUGUAUGAGAGUACGGAUUAUAAAAGUUGGUUAAUAAAAAAUAAAUAAAAAGAUG